rnacentral:rRNA from 1 species
UACGUAGGGUGCAAGCGUUAAUCGGAAUUACUGGGCGUAAAGCGUGCGCAGGCGGUUAUGUAAGACAGUUGUGAAAUCCCCGGGCUUAACCUGGGAACUGCAUUCGGGACUGCAUUGCUAGAGUAUGGGAGAGGGAAGUGGAAUUUCAGGUGUAGCGGUGAAAUGCGUAGAUAUCUGAAGGAACAUCAGUGGCGAAAGCGACUUCCUGGACCAAUACUGACGCUCAUGUGCGAAAGCGUGGGGAGCAAACAGG